rnacentral:lncRNA from 1 species
GGCUGGUAAGGCUUAGUCCCCUCCUGGGCCGGAACCAGCACUCGCGUUAGACGGGCCCCGUUCUCCUGUCCCCUUAGAGCAUGUGAUUCCAUCAUCAGCUUAUUUUUGGCUCCGCAGUUAAUGAUCUGUUGGUGCCCACACUUUUCACUUUGUCACAACAACUGGGGCCCGCAGCUGAAGCACAGCUGGCCUCUCAUUCGCCCAGGCCUAUAAUUUAGUUUAACAGCUUUAGGGGCAAGAGGAAAUGGCGGAGCGCCCGACAGCCCCCACACUCGCUUCAAAAAUUAGUUCCGUCCCAUGCUGUAUAUAUACUCGUUGGAAAAGAAUACUAUCCUACACUUACGCGGAUGCCCUGAAAACAAUUGUGGUUACCUCGCAGAGAACACCCGGCCUUGCAGCAAUGCCUGGUGGCUUUGGCAUUGGAUCUUCAGGGGAGCAAAUGGACAGAAGGUAGUGGGCAGAGUGCUGGGUCAGCAGGCAGGUGGCCAUGGUGCAGAAACCUUCCCAGGGGCCGGCCACACUCAGGUCAAGGAAGAUGUGGAGUUUGGAAGCACCAGGAUUCUGUGUGAUCGGAAUCAUUCAUUCAUUCAGCAGGCACUGAGUUGGAGCACAAGGGGACAGUGGAGUCCAGAAAACUAAGAUGUCCUCACCCAGCAGUUUAUGCUUCAGCAGAGAACAUAGAAAUUAAGCAACUACACAAAUAAUUAUUCAGUCACAAAUGUAGAACUUAAAUUCUCCCUUCUCUA